AUCCAACUGAUGAGUCCUAGAUAGGACGAAAUGCACAUACUGAAU
rnacentral:hammerhead_ribozyme from 1 species